rnacentral:rRNA from 1 species
CCUACGGGCGGCAGCAGUAGGGAAUAUUGCUCAAUGGGGGAAACCCUGAAGCAGCAACGCCGCGUGGAGGAUGAAGGUUUUCGGAUUGUAAACUCCUUUUGUUAGAGAAGAGAAUGACGGUAUCUAACGAAUAAUCACCGGCCAACGCCGUGCCAGCAGCCGCGGUAAUACGGAGGGAGCAAGCGUUAUGCGGAAUCACGGGGCGUAAAGAGCGCGUAGGCGGGAUAGCAAGUCAGAUGUGAAAUCCUAUGGCUUAACCAUAGAACUGCAUUUGAAACUGUUAUUCUAGAGUAUGGGAGAGGUAGGUGGAAUUCUUGGUGUAGAGGUGAAAUCCGUAGAGAUCAAGAGGAAUACUCAUUGCGAAGGCGACCUGCUAGA